rnacentral:rRNA from 1 species
CCCAAUGAUUAAAUUUAAUGGCCGCAGUAUUUUAACUGUGCAAAGGUAGCAUAAUAAUUAGUUUUUUAAUUGAGGACUUGUAUGAAUGAUUGGACAAGAUAUAAGCUGUCUCAUAUCAAUUUAGUAGAAUUUUAUUUUUUAGUUAAAAAGCUAAGAUUUUUUUAAAAGACGAGAAGACCCUAUAGAUCUUUAUAUUGAUUAUGUACUAAUUUUAUAAGAAUUAUUUUUGUUAGUAUUUAAUUAAAUAUUUUGUUGGGGUGACAUUAGAAUUUAAAUAACUUCUAAUAUUUUUUUUUUACAAAGAUGGUUGAAUAUUGGAUCUUUUAUUAUUGAUAAAAAAAUUAAGUUACCUUAGGGAUAACAGCGUAAUUAUUUCGGAGAGUUCAUAUUGAUGAAAUAGAUUGCGACCUCGAUGUUGGAUUAAGAUUAAUUCUGGGUGAAGAAGUUCAGUUUAUUAAGUCUGUUCGACUUUUAAAUUCUUACGUGAUCUGAGUUCA